UCAUCAUCUUCCACACUAACUAACCAUCAUGUCCCUGUCAGCUCUGCUGCUGUUGCUGGCUGCUACUUCCAGUGUGGAGUGUCAGACACUGUCUGAGUCUGAGCCGGUGGUCAUCAGUCCUGGAGGAUCUCACAAACUGACCUGCACAACGUCAGGGUUCACAUUUAAAAAUUAUGCUAUGAGUUGGAUCAGACAGGCCCCAGGGAAAGGGCUGGAGUGGAUUGCAUUUAUUCACACAGCCAGUACCCCGAUCUACUACUCCCAGUCAGUCCAGGGCAGGUUCACCAUCUCCAGAGAUGAUUCCAGCAGCAAGCUGUAUCUGCAGAUGAACAGUCUGAGGACUGAGGACACGGCUGUGUACUACUGUGCCCGGAGAGACACAGUGAGUGAGGGCAGUUACCAGGCUUGUGGCCAGUCCACUGGAGCCCUGCAGCAGCACUGCACCAGCACCUCAUACUCCUCCUGUUGCUGCAGUCUUCAAUGA